CCUGUCUCUAGAGGCUUUGCAGGUGUGGCUGCUGUGUCACAUGUGCAUCAGUAGGUGGCAGAGAGGAGAGAGGCUAUGUCCACACUCAGUAUUCUGAACCUGUGAAUGUCCAAAGGAGGAGUAACCUAACAUU